rnacentral:lncRNA from 1 species
GGUGACUUACUUGAUGCCAGAAAGCACGGCACUGAGGCCUGUGGCCAUCUCUAGGGCCAAGGCGUCUGGGUGGGGCCACUACUGGGGUCCUUCAUGACGGGGAGGCCCAGACACACUAGGCUCCCCCAGGACCCAGGCUUUACUUCCCUCAUCCCAUCCAGGCCCAACAGUGCCCCACUGGCCUUCUCUCAUUAAUUCCACACCUUGGCAGACUCCUUAGAGUUCCAUGGAUUGUCAACUUUAUCUUAAGUGCUUCAUCCUUGAGCAGUAUCAUCUCCAUUUCACAGAAGGGAAAGGAGAGUUUCAGAGAGGUUAAGUGACUUGCUACAGACUGCACAGCUAUGACCUCACAUAGCCAAAAUGUGAACCCAAGUUCUCUGGCCUCAAAUGUCAGCCACUCUCCACUGCUCUGCCUCCCCCUCCGAGGACCACUCAGUUGCUAGGAGACAGCAAGCCAGUGGUUACUAUGGGAACCUGGCUGAUGUGGAAAGUGGAAAGAGUUGGUGUCCAGACAGCAGUGGGAAGGCUCCAGUCCCUUAAUCUGAUCCCCGAGGAACAACGCAGAGGCUUCACUCUGGAUGACAAACGAGGAGGGGAGAGGCCUGCCCUGCCUGGACUCUGGGCCCCAGCCAGGACUGUGUAAGCGAGAGGAUACCUGCACCCCCUUUAAUCCCUCAGCGGGGUCUCCCCAGUGGGGAGACCAGACCUGGGAAACAUGGCUCACCUUGGUAAGCCAUCAGCCUCUCCACGCCUCAGUUUCUUCAUCUGCAAAAUGGGCAUGCCUUUAGGCCUAGUGAGGCUAGUGCAUGUAAGCACUUAAUAAAGCCUGCAGCGGUGGGGCUCA